AGAACUGAUAAUUCGACAGGUAGAAUGAAGGGGUAACGCCCUGAAAUGCCGCCCUAAUACUCCGACCGGCGUUUGCAGGUGUAAUACUGCAAGGGUUGGGAGCUCGGUGAAGUCGGCUGAAAGACACCGUAAGCUGUGCCUGCACAGCACGAAAGCUGGCCAGAGGUGGGUGGUGUGUCCUAUAGGUCGGGGGUCUAUAAA
rnacentral:ncRNA from 1 species